CGUUUUCUUUCAUUGGUGAUGUUGUGCUCUCCUCCACGAACGUCGUCAUGAACCACGUAUGUUUGCUGGGCAUCGAUGCGGUUGGUGGACCUAAUAGGAAUGGAGAGUGACCAUGUUACACCGCGGGCUGCCGCAUACUUGUGUGAGAGCAAGUUGCAUGCUGUAUGAACUAAGGGCAAAUUCGUAGCAGAGUGCCAUUCUGUUUCUACAGGCGAUGGAUUAUCU